rnacentral:rRNA from 1 species
AGGUGGCAAGCGUUGCUCGGAAUCACUGGGCGUAAAGGGCGCGUAGGCGGGGAGGUAAGUCGGGUGUGAAAUCCCUCGGCUCAACCGAGGAACGUCGAUCGAUACUACCGUUCUUGAGGAUUGCAGAGGAGACUGGAAUUCCCGGUGUAGCGGUGAAAUGUGUAGAGAUCGGGAGGAACACCGGUGGCGAAGGCGGGUCUCUGGGCAAUUCCUGACGCUGAGGCGCGAAAGCGUGGGGAGCAAACGGG